GGAAUUCUCAGGACAAAUACUUCAAGAGCUCAAUAACCAGCAGUAAAUCAGAAAUCAUCAGAUUUUUCUUCACAUGGAGACAGAACUCAGAUCUCUCGGAAUGAAACAAAAGUUUUCUAAAUCUUUAUAUUAUGUUGAUGCCCAAAAAAGUGUCAUUCUGUUUCUUGGCUAUUUAAUAUCUUGACUAGAAGGGUUUUAAAAAAUUAAGACUUGUGAAUCAAGUAAGAAGGAAUUCCAAAAUGCCUAUACCCCUCCAUCUAGCUAGAGUUUUAUUUAGAUUGUGGCCAUCAAGAUGCAUCACAGCUCUGACUUCAUUCCUGUGUCCUGUAGGGAGGCAUUGUGAGAGGAAAUGGGAGGGUAUGCAUGAUGCCCUGAGCAAUGUGUGUUUCUGUAUAACAUCCAAAUCAGACACUAGUGGGAUGUGUCAGAUAUCACACCAGAAAGAUUUCUUAUGAGAAUGGGUUUAUAUGGCUCAGUUUUGUAAACCCAUUAAUGUUUCACUAAGUCUGUUCCUUGUUUGUAUAAUUUUCGUAGUGUAUGCACUAGUAGUGGCCAGUAUUUGAAGAUAAAAGUAACAAUUUAGAGCAUUUGAAUGGCCCUGGAUUCAGUCCCUGGCAUGCACACAUGCACACACUUAUAAUUUCAGGGGAGUAACCAUUAUUUCCCUAACUAGCUUUUACUGGUCUUUUAGGAGCAUUCAACUGUCUCAGAAAAAUACCAAGUUAGAUUUUUUUUUUUCUUUUUGGAAAAUCAACAUAUUUAAGUUUGGUGAGCACAUCCUGCUGUCAGUACGCUUCUACUUUUUUCUAACCUCGGCAAUUUGAAUACUGUUUUCAUUUUUAGUCUUCUUAUCAAGAGUUUUCUGACUAUUCUAGCUUUUGUCAUUAAGCAUUUUGGCUGUCGUUACACAAAAUUUCAUAAAGUUUGCUGGUCUGUGUUAGAUAACAUCUAAAAAGACAUGAUUCUGAACAGCCUCAUUUCACCCCUUAGAGUGCUUAUUAUGUGUCUAAGUGUGUGCCCAGAAUUGUGCCAGAUGUGGUGGAAAAAGCAGUUACUUGCAGCAAAUUAAUAAAAC
rnacentral:lncRNA from 1 species